AGUGAACGCUGGCGGUAGGCCUAACACAUGCAAGUCGAACGGCAGCACAGUAAGAGCUUGCUCUUACGGGUGGCGAGUGGCGGACGGGUGAGGAAUAUAUCGGAAUCUACUUUUUCGUGGGGGAUAACGUAGGGAAACUUACGCUAAUACCGCAUACGACCUACGGGUGAAAGCAGGGGAUCUUCGGACCUUGCGCGAUUGAAUGAGCCGAUGUCGGAUUAGCUGGUUGGCGGGGUAAAGGCCCACCAAGGCGGCGAUCCGUAGCCGGUCUGAGUGGAUGGUCAGCCACACUGGAGCUGAGACACGGUCAAGACUCCUACGGGAGGCAGCAGUGGGGAAUGUUGGGCAGUGGGCGCAAGCCUGGUCCAGCCAUACCGCGUGGGUGAAGAAGGCCUUCGGGUUGUAAAGCCCUUUUGUUGGGAAAGAAAAGCAGCAGGUUAAUACCCCGCUGUUCUGACGGUACCCAAUGAAUAAGCACCGGCUAACUACGUG
rnacentral:rRNA from 1 species